AUAUGCUGCUUCGACAAUACAUAUACUAAAACUGGAACGAUACAGAGAUAUUAGCAUGGGCCUUUGCGCAAGGUCGACGCAAAAAUUCGUGAAGUGGUCCAUAAUUUU